rnacentral:tRNA from 1 species
GAGAAGGCAUAAAGGUUAUAGAGUUGGCUUGAA